CAUUACGGCAUUAUUUAUUUUUUUUUUUAGUCUCUGUGCCAAAUAUUGGAUAAUUGUGGAAAUAUGUGGUCCAGGUGGUGUGCCAUCUGGCAGCUGGGUGCAGCUGCCCCACCUGUGCAGGUGGUCAGUCCUCCAGGCUGAGGGACUGACCCCCUCAGAGCUGAGGGACUGAUGACGGCGUCUUCACAUCUGUGAAGAUGAUCUGCAGUGGUUCCUGGAUGAAAGUCAGGAGUCAAAACAAAAUGAGGCUUAGAAUGUGAACCAUCAGUCAGACACAACAGAAGGUGAGUCAUCCACACAGAACCAACAGGUAGCUGACAAAUUUGCAUCCAAACAGCAGAAGCAACUACCCCAGAGACCCUGCUUUCAGAAUCAUUGGUGAACGAGGUUAAGGAUGACGACAACGGGCACUGAAGAUGAGGCAGAGGAAGAUCUGAUGAAGACAGAGAAAAAAACUCAUCACAUUCACGAACAAAGGUAGCAGAGGGGCAGCUGUACUCAAGCAGGUCACGACCCAGCACAUCAGGGGUGACUCAGCGCCAGGACAAAGAGUACUUAACUGGUCUCAGCGAUCACCUCGACCACCUCGACCAGCAGCUCCACCAAACAUAAGAAACUCUCAGUAUUGUGGUGAACACUAUCAAGACCAGAUUGGAUGAGACAGAGAAAAAUACAGUAUUCGUCUAUGCAGAAUCAAACACCAGUGAAAUACGAAGAAGAGAAAAUGAGCUAGGAUAUUUCAUUUAUAGCUAAACCUGUGUGAAUCAUUCAACUCAAGGAGCACUGGAGGCUUCAUCCUCUGUCCACUAAUGAAGAUCUGGACUCUGUCCUGUCAGGUUGUUGACGAUUGUGCAAGUUUAAGGUAAAUAAAUGUUGUGUCUCAAGGAGUGUCACUGAGCUUAUAUUUAUCUCAGGUUAGCUAUUACUUUCAUGCUAGAAAUAAGAAAACAAUCCGUAUGCAGUGGACCCCCGCCUUACGAUAUUAAUCCGUUCCCGAGAGCUCAUCGUAUGCCGAAAUUAUUGUAAGGCGAAUUAAUUUUCCACAUAAGAAAUAAUGGAAAUCAAAUUAAUCCGUUCCUGACACCCCAAAGUAUGAAAAAAAAAAUUUUACCACAUGAAAUAUUAAUUUUAACCCUUUCAGGGUUUCGGCCGUACUAGUACGGUUUAUGCGCCAGGGUCCUUGACGUACUAGUACUCAUAAAUUCUAGCACCUUCAAAUCUAGUGAGAGAAAGCUGGUAGGCCUACAUAUGAAAGAAUGGGUCUAUGUGGUCAGUGUGCGCAGUAUAAAAAAAAUCCUGUAGCACACAGUGCGUAAUGAGAAAAAAAAACUUUGACCGUGUUUUUGGAUUAAAACAGCGACUUUGCACUGUAUUUUCAUAUGGUAUUUAUUGUUGUAUUCUAGUUUUCCUGGUCUCAUUUUAUAGAAUGGAAGACAUAUUACAGAAAUUGAGAUGAUUUUGACUGGUUUUACAAUGAAAAGUACCUUGAAAUUGAGCUGAAAGUAGCAGAAAUGUUCAAUUUUUACCAAAGUUCAAAAGUAAACAAAUCAUGCUAAGUGUCCAAUACACGUCAACUGGUGAGUCUGAUAUUCCUUCACGAAUGCGCAGGUAUUAUUUAUACCAUUUCUACACUAAUGCAGUAGUCUGCAUAACAGUAAACCUAUUUUUUGUGAGAAUAAAAAUUUAAAAUGGAAAGCAAAAGAAUGUAAAAGGGGCCUUGAGACGUGACUAAUGAACAGAGGAAAUGUUAUUUUAGUGCCAGGAAUGUCUUUCUUGUUUAUUCUGGACCCUAUUUGGAAAUUGGCAUCUUUUGAAAUUUGUGUGAAAUUGGCAAAAUUGCUAAAUUCUGACCACUGUACUGGAUAGUUGAAAUCUGUAAAUGGGUGGUUUCUUGUACUCAUUUGAUAGAAAAAUGGAGUUCUAGCGAAAUAGUUAUGAUUUUUGUCGACUAGUACAUUUGAAUUGGCCGAAAAUAGGGCUCAAAGUGGGCAAAAUCACCGAUGCAUCAACUUUGUCGAGACCGCUAACUUCACAAGAGCAUAAUUCCAUAAGUUUUCCAUCAAAUUUCAUACUUUUUCUGUCAUUAUGAUCAGGAAAAGAUUCUCUAUCUGGCAGGGCUGCAUCUGCUCUUGUUGCCACCUCCCUAGUUAAGAACGAUAAUAAAUUUGUUGAGUUAGGCAUAAGAAUUAACAACUGGGCGUCUACACUGCAAACUGAAUUGUUUGCAAUCUUAAUGGCGCUAAAGCUAACCUAUGACACUGAGCUUGACUCUGUCAUCAUUACUGAUUCUAUGUCAUCAUUGAAGGCUCUUGACUCAUAUAAUGACUCCAACAACAUGCUCAUUGGGGAAGCCAGGUAUAGAUACUCAAAAAUUAGGGACAAAGGAAUUAAUGUACAAUUGCUAUGGAUCCCAUCACACAUUGGAUUACUCCUUCAUGAUAAAGUUGAUAUGUUAGCCAAGAAGAGUACCCAGAAGGAGAAUGUAGAAUAUAACUUUGGUAUAACUGUGUCUAGCAUUAGGAAUAAUAUUAGGAGAGAAGUAAAUAAUGAAAAUGAUUGUUAUAGGAAUGCAGUUAGAAGCCUGAGUAGAUCUAUAACCCACUAUGAUAACAUGAACGUAGAUAAGUAUGUUUAUGGAGCAACAUGCAAUGUGAACACUGAUGUUGUAGUGGCCAGGCUUAGGCUUGGUUACAAGUACUGACUGAUGUUGUAGUGGCCAGGCUUAGGCUUGGUUACAAGUACUGACUGAUGUUGUAGUGGCCAGGCUUAGGCUUGGUUACAAGUACUGAGUGAUGGUGUAGUGGCCAGGCUUAGGCUUGGUUACAAGUACUGACUGAUGUUGUAGUGGCCAGACUUAGGCUUGGUUACAAGUACUGACUGAUGUUGUAGUGGCCAGGCUUAGGCUUGGUUACAAGUACUGACUGAUGUUGUAGUGGCCAGGCUUAGGCUUGGUUACAAGUACUGACUGAUGUUGUAGUGGCCAGGCUUAGGCUUGGUUACAAGUACUGACUGAUGUUGUAGUGGCCAGGCUUAGGCUUGGUUACAAGUACUGACUGAUGUUGUAGUGGCCAGGCUUAGGCUUGGUUACAAGUACUGACUGAUGUUGUAGUGGCCAGGCUUAGGCUUGGUUACAAGUACUGACUGAUGUUGUAGUGGCCAGGCUUAGGCUUGGUUACAAGUACUGACUGAUGUUGUAGUGGCCAGGCUUAGGCUUGGUUACAAGUACUGACUGAUGUUGUAGUGGCCAGGCUUAGGCUUGGUUACAAGUACUGACUGAUGUUGUAGUGGCCAGGCUUAGGCUUGGUUACAAGUACUGACUGAUGUUGUAGUGGCCAGGCUUAGGCUUGGUUACAAGUACUGACUGAUGUUGUAGUGGCCAGACUUAGGCUUGGUUACAAGUACUGACUGAUGUUGUAGUGGCCAGGCUUAGGCUUGGUUACAAGUACUGACUGAUGUUGUAGUGGCCAGACUUAGGCUUGGUUACAAGUACUGACUGAUGUUGUAGUGGCCAGGCUUAGGCUUGGUUACAAGUACUUCUGGCAGUUUGGGAGACACACAGAUGAUGAUCAAACUAAAUGUAAAUUAUGUGAUCAGGCAUAUGGUCACUCUCUUGAACACUAUGUGCUUAAUUGUCCACUUAUUGAGGAAUACAGAGACAGACAGUAUAAUAACCUAUGUGACAUGUCAAGAUAUCUUAUUAAUGAAAAUAAGAUACCAGAUAUACUAAGCAAAUUUCCUAAAUUUGCUUGUAACAGAUAAGUGAACUAUAGAUAUGUAGAUAUAAAUCCAUAUGUAUUCCUGUUAACCCUUUGGGGCCUAGUUCCUAGGCCUUUUGUGUAUCCAUAUGCUCUCGCGCUACCGUCCACAGGAUGGAUAUGGGGUGCACAAUAAACUAGCCGCUUCAGUGGCAAAAUCUAAAUCUGAGAACAAGUCUCUGAGAGGGCCUGUGGACCCUGAAAGGGUUAAUACACACAAACUGAAGAAGACAUGCACAAUUAAUACUCUACUAAGAAUAGAAUACAUGACACUUACAUUUAUUGAAGAUCUGGUGAUGAUUGAUGGGAUGGGAGGAGGGGAGAGUGUGGAAGUUGUUAUUGUUUAGAAGGGGAAUCCCCUUCCAUUAGGACUUGAGGUAUCAAGUCCUUUUCUGGGGUUACUUCCCUUUUUCUUUUAAUGCCACUAGGACCAGCUUGAGAGUCACUGGACCUCUGUCGCACAACAUAUCUGUCCAUAGAGCUCUGUACCUCUCGUUCCUUUAUGGUUUGUCUAAAGUGGCUGACAACAUUGUCAUUGUAAUAGUCACCAGCACGACUUGCAAUAGCUGUGUUAGGGUGAUUUUCAUCCAUAAAGGUUUGCACUUCAACCCACUUUGCACACAUUUCCUUAAUCUUUGAAGUAGACAACUUCUUCAGUUUCUCUAUCCCCUCCUCCGAAGCAGUUUCCUCAGGUCCGGCCUCUUGCUGUUGAAAAUGAUCUUGCAGCUCAUCAGUGGUUAGUUCUUCAUUGUCCUCCUCCACCAACUCUUCCACAUCCUCCCUAGUAACCUCCAACCCCAAGGACUUCCCGAACUCUGUGUGUGUGGAGGAGGGAGAAGGUGACUCAAUUAAUAUUUGCAUUAAUAACUCAUUAAAAUUGUGAUCAGUUGUAGACGUGUGAACGGUUCAUUACUUUUGUAACAUGUUCAUCUAUCAAAACUUUGUGGCCCAGUCCCUGGGCUGCAAAGUACCUCUGUAAUCCUUGUGACUAUUACACCACAGGAUGGGUAUGGGGUGCAUAAUGAAGAUAUUAUUAAACUAACCUCUUACUCUCUUUUUCUUAACCACUUCUGGUCUCAUUCUCAUGGUGUCGCAGUGUACACUGAUAGUUUUAAAUCUUCUGAUGGCGUUCAGGUUUGCAGCAGUGUUUCCAGACAGCGUUGUGCACGGGCAUUUAUUGGACUCUGCUAGCAUUCUUACAACUGAAUUGUAGGCAAUUCUCAUUCCAGUUAUUUGUAUUACAUAUAUGUCUACCUCAAAGUUUGUCAUAUUCUCAGACUUCCUUAGUGCUUUGCAGGGUAUUAAAAAAUUUGACUCUCCUCAUCCUCUAGUUCUUCGUAUACAAAUUGAGGUGCAUCGCAUUUGUAGCAAAACCAAUGAAAUCAUUUUGUGAUGGUUCCCUGGUCAUGCUGAUGUUGAGGGUAACAAGCAGGCAGACGCUGUUGCACGGUCAGCAGAACAUGACUGUGGCAUGCAAAGAGUACGUAACCUUUAUUCGGCGCAUGGACACACCCUCAUUUACAGGUUAUCUCCCCCAACCAGCGAACCUGGUUGCUAAGAGUUGAUGAUGGGGCCCCAUCGUUCAACUAGUGACCAGGUUCUAGCCAAUAAGAAGGUGGGAUUGGCAAUCGCAGAGGUUAUGUGGAUACCGCUCUCCUGUCUGCCCUUGUCAUUCCCAUUCUAGAGCUGGUUGAAGCACGGUCUGCUAUCUUGUGGCUUCUAUUUCUGCCUUGCUUACCGUGGAGUGCACUAUAUUUAUCACUGUACAUAGUGUACAUAUUGCUGUUCUAAAUUGGUGAAGGAUAAUAUAAGUCUAAACUUUUUCUACUGUGUUUAUUUGCUCCCAUUACACCUGGGAUAACAGGCCAUUUGAAAUCCUAGGUUGUAAUAUGGGUAGCCUGUCCGAGAGCUGGACUUAGAGAAACGGUUGAGCUUAGGGUGAAGCUUGUAGCAGGAACAUUGUGUAGCUUGCUGUUUCGCUUCGCUUUACAAAUUUUGCGUGUCAGUUGCUUAUGAUCAGCCUUGCUAUUGUGUGAUCGUUCAACAGCUCGCUACUAGCUUGUUCAGUGUGCUCGCUUCGCUACGGUCAAUCUUGUGUGCAGUCGGCUUUGCUUGUAUGCGUAUUCUGCAAUCGUACUGUGCAUAGCUAAGCGUGUUCUGCAAAUUAA